GUUUCACCUGUAGUAUAU
rnacentral:snRNA from 1 species